AAAGCAGAAUUAAUUUACAAAUAACAUGUUGUUCCUUUUAGUACAUUUUUAAAAAGACAUCUUCAUCAAGUAAGUAAGAA
rnacentral:lncRNA from 1 species